UACGUAGGAUGCAAGCGUUGUCCGGAUUUACUGGGCGUAAAGCGCGCGCAGGCGGCGCAUUAAGUAAGGUGUGAAAUAUCCCGGCUCAACCGGGAGGGUGCACUUUAGACUGAUGUGCUUGAGGUCGGUAGAGGGGGGUGGAAUUGCUGGUGUAGCGGUGAAAUGCGUAGAUAUGUGGAGGAACACCGAUGGCGAAGGCAGCCCCCUGGGUCAAAACUGACGCUCAUGCACGAAAGCGUGGGGAGCAAACAGG
rnacentral:rRNA from 1 species